rnacentral:misc_RNA from 1 species
UGAUGCAAUUCUUCUUGGUGCUGAAACUCUACGUGGAUUAUACCCAAUUGAGACUAUUUCAACUGUUGGAAAAAUUUGUGCGGAGGCAGAGAAGGUCUUUAACCAAGAUCUAUACUUCAAGAGAACAGUCAAAUUUGUUGGGGAGCCCAUGUCACACCUGGAAUCAAUUGCGUCCUCUGCGGUCCGGGCAGCAAUUAAGGUGAAAGCAUCAGUAAUUAUUUGUUUCACUUCAUCUGGAAGGGCAGCACGAUUGAUAGCCAAAUAUAGGCCAACAAUGCCAGUAUUGUCUGUUGUAAUUCCUCGACUGAAGACAAAUCAAUUGAAGUGGAGCUUUACCGGCGCAUUUGAGGCAAGGCAGUCUCUUAUUGUGAGGGGUCUUUUCCCAAUGCUUGCUGAUCCUCGACAUCCUGCUGAGUCUACGAAUGCAUCAAACGAGUCUGUGCUGAAAGUUGCCCUCGAUCACGGGAAGGCCUCAGGAGUUGUGAAGUCCCACGAUCGAGUUGUCAUCUGCCAGAAAGUUGGAGACGCAUCGGUGGUUAAGAUUAUUGAACUGGAAGGUUAAGCUUCUAGUUGUCCUCAUUUUUUUUUUUUUUGG